ensembl:lncRNA
AUCAAAGUCGUCCGUUUUCCCCGUGCCUGUGUCCUGCCUCCUACAAGGAACGUUACAAUGCCCGUAGCUCCAGCUUUACAUACAUGGCCCAACAAGACAUCCAGACGGCUUGCUUCUCCCCACUGGCCGAAUUCGGAGCACUCUCCCUGUGGAUGAGGUUCCUUGUAUGCCUGGGUCCUGACAAGACAUCUUAUCACUUCACUACUACAUGGUCUCCUGCUCACCAGAGGGAUGGAGAGCCAGAGGCUGACCGAGUUUCCGUUCACGUGUGUCUGGAUAUUCUUUCCGACAUUUACAAAGUUGUCAUUGAAGGUGGACAAAGCUGCGUUUUCAUUUGACUGCCGGUCGUGUUGAUUAAAGUAGCUGGAUGUAAUGAUACCGGGGCCUAAAAGAUAAAAUGUGUGCGCCACGAGUGUUUGUGUUCCUGGUUUAGCCCAAUUGGGCAUUAACAAUGUGACAGCACACUGAAUGCCCUGUCCAUCUAUCUGGUUCAUGUCAGAAGCCAGCACGGAUGGGAUGCAUGAAUUCCCUGGUGUUUUCCACCAGCUACUUGGAUCAUUUUAAUGUGGCUACCUAUCACAACGGUCCGUAGCGCGGUUCCUGGCACUCACGUAGCCCUGGAGAUCCGAAACUGUUUCAUGCUGAAAUGGUUUCAAGAAGGACGUAUUGGGUCCAAAUGCUAUAACAUUCAUCCUAUUUUCAAAUCCCACCGUAUCCUGAGAGAUCAGUAGAAAAGAUAUCAUUCACAGGCCCAACUAGGUUUUAAUUCAGUUGUUUAUAGUGAAACGGUUUGCCCUGUUUUCUCCCCGAAGUCAUGUGUAUUUGGAAUAAAGGCGGAAUCUGGACGGUGGAUAUCGAGAUGCAUGUCUUCCAAAGCACAUGGGACGCCACUCUGAUUAUUUUUACACUGAUUGCUCAACCAGGAAGUCUAAAUCCUUACACGCCGGAAGAAACACAUUCUCCAUCCAUCUACCUUGAUUAGGUUUACAGGCGUCUAAGCU